ACUUAAAAUGAGUUGAGUUUAUACCAAAAUGAAUACAUGGAUGAUACAGCAAAGGAUUGGGAGAAUGUCAUGUGGUCAGAUGAAACCAAAAUAGAACUUUUUGGUAUAAACUCAACUCGUCGUGUUUGGAGGAAAAAGAAUACUGAGUUGCAUCCCAAGAACACCACACCUACUGUGAAGCAUGGGGGUGGAAACAUCAUGCUUUGGGGCUGUUUUUCUGCUAAGGGGACAGGACGAUUGAUCCGUGUUAAGGAAAGAAUGAAUGGGGCCAUGUAUCGUGAGAUUUUGAGCCAAAACCUCCUUCCAUCAGUGAGAGCUUUGAAUGGUUGACCAAAUACUUAUUUUCCACCAUAAUUUACAAAUAAAUUCUUAAAAAUUCCUACAAUGUGAAUUCCUUGAUUUUUUUUCAGAUUCUGUCUCUCACAGUUGAAGUGUACCUCUGAUGGAAAUUACAGAUCCCUGUCAUCAUUUUAAGUGGGAGAACUUGCACAAUCGAUGGCUGACUAAAUACUUUUUCGUCCCACUGUAUAAAGUGUAAAGGGUGUCAUUUCAUUCCUAGAGGUCUCUCAUAAUGUUGAAAAACGUAUUUAGAAGUCUCAAACAUUUGUUUAUGUUCUAAUUAUAAAAAUAUUUAAUUUAUAAUUAUUGAUUUAAACUUCGCUGAAAUGUGUUUAUCGUGGUCAUGCCCGGAACCAAAUAACAGCGAUAAACAAGGGAUGACUGGAUACCUCAUACAACAGCAGCCAAGAGGAGAUUGUGUAACUGUUACUGUUUUGAAAAGAGAAUUGGUUGGAAUAGGGAAUAAAUUCUAAAUCGAAUAAUCAUACCAAGACGCGCUUUAUACAAUACUGUGACUAAUAUAUGGAUAUUUCUUUGGGUUCACAAGUACCACAUGCCGCCGAUAAGUUUAGCCUUGUCACAUCAGACCGAUGAGAUUGCCGAACGUGUCACGGUAGACCAAAUAAAUUGUUGACAUUAAAUUAAUUGCACUGACACACCCAUCCAGUCAGCCAUUUAGCUUGUUAUGGACUCACCCUCAUCAUGGAGAAGACAUGACGAAAUUCACACAACGCAGCCCCAAAGAAAAACAAUCAUCCCGCAUGAAACAGAACUUUUGUUAAAGUUGUAAAAUAACGCAAGCGACUGUAAAUAUUUAAUGUGCAAUGUGUACAACUGCGGCUGAAAGACUUGUGCGGCCAAUAUGGGUACAAAUUCAAAUUCAUCCAAAAAUUAAGUGGUUGCAUCUUAUUUUUAGGUGCGCACUAUAGCCCGGAAAUUACAGUACAUUACAUAUUAUUUAAUUGUUGUGUCCUAUUUGGGUUAACUCAGUGCAAAGUAUUCCUUUAAUCCCACUAAUACUUGAGUGGCCCACCUUCACAUGAGCUCUUUGGUGACACCCACCCUCUGCCUGCCUAUCGCCCGGACUUCUGGCCAGGAAUCGGUCGUUCAUUAAACCCUUAAUCCCUUUAGAGAGAACUUCAUAGAAGAAAACAGCCAGUGUUUGUUUCUUUGGCUUUCCUUGAGUCCUCAUGGCUUUGUAGCAGGAACAUGCAAGCCUCCAAUGUUGACAAAUUUAUACAAGCUGUACAGAGGCUAAUCUAAACUACAUUAAACGUGUCAUUCCUAUAGUAUUGUUCAUUGAGAAGAUGUAAUAAAAUGGAUGUUGAGCUAAGAAACCGUACAGACGUGUCCCAAUACAUUUGUUCAUACACUCUGCGUCACAUUAGUGAAACCCCAAAAUCUGACUUACCCAGCCCAACAUAAUGAUUAUGCAUUUGCACGCAUGAACUAUCGAGCAUGUGAGCGUGGUUAUCAGCCCGAAGGUGAGUGCACAACAUGCCAGUGUGUACAUCGUCAACAACUUGCUGCCUGCACGGCCUGGCAUGCGUCUACUUCCACCAACCUGCACCGACACUCACCAGACACAAGAGAUGGCGUGAGUGACCCAACACACAAGACAUAUUGACAUUAGCAAAGUUGAAGUUAGCGUAAGCCUACCUUUAUUUUGUUGUCAGUGAUUGAUUGAAUGUUUUUUCUUUCUUGCCUAAGGGCUCGGGGGGCUAUCUGAUCCCUAACCCCAGGAUCAUCUGACAUGCACCCUCUCACGUCUACAAACUUGGGAAAGGUGGCGGCUGAAACCCACCAAAACCACACGAGCAGCAUCGAUCAAGUAUGUUACAAAAGCGCAUGUCUUUGGAAGUGGGAGGAAGCCGGAGUACCCGGAGGGAACCCACGCAUUCACAGGGAGAACAUGCAAACUCCACACAGAAAGAUCCCAAGCCUGGAUUUGAACCCAGGACUGCAGGAACUUCGUAUUGUGAGGCAGACGCACUAACCCCUCUUCCACCGUGAAGCCCCUUACUCACAACCACAAACAGUCAGGUCACGGGGGCAGCAGCCUAAGCAGGGAAGUCCAGACUGUCCUCUCCCCAGCCACUUCGUCCAGCUCUUCCCGGGGAAUCCCGAGAUGUUCCCAGGCCAGCUGGGAGACAUAGUCUUCCCAACGUGUCCUGGGUCUUCCCCGUGGCCUAAAGACCUCCCUAGGGAGCCGUUCGGGUGGCAUCCUGACCAGAUGCCUGAACCACCUCAUCUAACUCCUCUCGAUGUGGAGGAGCAGCAGCUUUACUUCCCCCCAGUGCACACAUAUAAAUGUAAUGUACAAAUAUAAACAACCAGUGUAACUUUAAAUUUUAACUUCCCGAGAAACUGUGUCCUCAAUGUUUGUAUUAGUCUGGAGAAUGCUGGUUCUCGGGAGAUUAACUGACAAUUUGACUUUUAAAUCAUGAAAAUACCUCACACACUUUCACAUCAAGGGUGUUUUCCGUGUGAGUCUGAUAUUGUUACAUUAUUAAGGCCACACUACAGUGUUUUUGUGUUAUUAUUAUUUUAAAAAGAAAACUUACUAAAAAUGCCAUAGUGUGUAAAAUGAAG